rnacentral:rRNA from 1 species
AACGAACGCUGGCGGCGUGGAUUAGGCAUGCAAGUCGUACGAUCUCUUUCUUCGGAGGGAGAUAGUGGCAAACGGGUGAGUAACGCGUGGGUAAUUUACCUUUAGGUUCGGAACAACAUGUCGAAAGACGUGCUAAUACCGGAUAAGACCACGAUUUCACAGAGAUAGUGGUUAAAGAUGGGGAUCCUGAAAAUGGACCUAUCGCCUUUAGAUGAACCCGCGUCCUAUCAGCUUGUUGGUGAGGUUAAGGCUCACCAAGGCAAUGACGGGUAGCUGGUCUGAGAGGAUGGUCAGCCACACUGGGACUGAGACACUGCCCAGACUCCUACGGGAGGCUGCAGUCGAGAAUCUUUUGCAAUGCCCGAAAGGGUGACAAUGCGACGCCGCGUGAACGAUGAAGGCCUUCGGGUUGUAAAGUUCUGUCAGCAGGGAUGAAUGUAAGUAGGUCAAUACCCUACUUAUUUGACGGUACCUGCAGAGGAAGCAACGGCUAACUCCGUGCCAGCAGA